CAGCCGCCACGGUAAUACGGAGGGGGCUAGCGUUGUUCGGAAUUACUGGGCGUAAAGCGCACGUAGGCGGCUUGGUAAGUUAGAGGUGAAAGCCCGGAGCUCAACUCCGGAAUUGCCUUUAAGACUGCCGAGCUAGUAGGUGAGAGAGGUAAGUGGAAUUCCGAGUGUAGAGGUGAAAUUCGUAGAUAUUCGGAAGAACACCAGUGGCGAAGGCGGCUCACUGGACGACUGUUGACGCUGAGGUGCGAAAGCGUGGGGAGCAAACAGGAUUAGAUACCCGUGUAGUCCCUGUCUCUUAUAC
rnacentral:rRNA from 1 species